GAGUUUGAUCCUGGCUCAGAUUGAACGCUGGCGGCAGGCCUAACACAUGCAAGUCGAGCGGUAGAGAGAAGCUUGCUUCUCUUGAGAGCGGCGGACGGGUGAGUAAUGCCUAGGAAUCUGCCUGGUAGUGGGGGAUAACGUUCGGAAACGGACGCUAAUACCGCAUACGUCCUACGGGAGAAAGCAGGGGACCUUCGGGCCUUGCGCUAUCAGAUGAGCCUAGGUCGGAUUAGCUAGUUGGUGAGGUAAUGGCUCACCAAGGCGACGAUCCGUAACUGGUCUGAGAGGAUGAUCAGUCACACUGGAACUGAGACACGGUCCAGACUCCUACGGGAGGCAGCAGUGGGGAAUAUUGGACAAUGGGCGAAAGCCUGAUCCAGCCAUGCCGCGUGUGUGAAGAAGGUCUUCGGAUUGUAAAGCACUUUAAGUUGGGAGGAAGGGUUGUAGAUUAAUACUCUGCAAUUUUGACGUUACCGACAGAAUAAGCACCGGCUAACUCUGUGCCAGCAGCCGCGGUAAUACAGAGGGUGCAAGCGUUAAUCGGAAUUACUGGGCGUAAAGCGCGCGUAGGUGGUUUGUUAAGUUGGAUGUGAAAUCCCCGGGCUCAACCUGGGAACUGCAUUCAAAACUGACUGACUAGAGUAUGGUAGAGGGUGGGUGGAAUUUCCUGUGUAGCGGUGAAAUGCGUAGAUAUAGGAAGGAACACCAGUGGCGAAGGCGACCACCUGGACUAAUACUGACACUGAGGUGCGAAGCGUGGGGAGCAAACAGGAUUAGAUACCCUGGUAGUCCACGCCGUAAACGAUGUCAACUAGCCGUUGGAAGCCUUGAGCUUUUAGUGGCGCAGCUAACGCAUUAAGUUGACCGCCUGGGGAGUACGGCCGCAAGGUUAAAACUCAAAUGAAUUGACGGGGGCCCGCACAAGCGGUGGAGCAUGUGGUUUAAUUCGAAGCAACGCGAAGAACCUUACCAGGCCUUGACAUCCAAUGAACUUUCUAGAGAUAGAUUGGUGCCUUCGGGAACAUUGAGACAGGUGCUGCAUGGCUGUCGUCAGCUCGUGUCGUGAGAUGUUGGGUUAAGUCCCGUAACGAGCGCAACCCUUGUCCUUAGUUACCAGCACGUCAUGGUGGGCACUCUAAGGAGACUGCCGGUGACAAACCGGAGGAAGGUGGGGAUGACGUCAAGUCAUCAUGGCCCUUACGGCCUGGGCUACACACGUGCUACAAUGGUCGGUACAGAGGGUUGCCAAGCCGCGAGGUGGAGCUAAUCCCAUAAAACCGAUCGUAGUCCGGAUCGCAGUCUGCAACUCGACUGCGUGAAGUCGGAAUCGCUAGUAAUCGCGAAUCAGAAUGUCGCGGUGAAUACGUUCCCGGGCCUUGUACACACCGCCCGUCACACCAUGGGAGUGGGUUGCACCAGAAGUAGCUAGUCUAACCUUCGGGAGGACGGUUACCACGGUGUGAUUCAUGACUGGGGUGAAGUCGUAACAAGGUAACC
rnacentral:rRNA from 1 species